CUCUCUUCCCCGUCCACCGCCCGAAGGCCUCUCCCUUUCUCCUCUCCACCGACCGAAGGCUUCCGUCCCCAACCCCGCUACCGGUACAAGGAGGCAACGGCAGCCGCUACAUUCAAGUUCUAUUUUACUUGGUUCGAAAGCUCUUGCCCCCUGGAAAUUAUUCCGGUCCAGGGGCGUUCCCGGCCGGCCCUCAGGGGUGGGGCCGAAUGCAGAGGCCCUGGGGUAGGGGGCGCGGGGCGCGGCGGCGGGUGGGCAAGCGGGACGCCUGGCCGGUGCAGACGCGCGGGGACGAGAUGGGCGUGCCGGGUGCGAAAGCAGGAGCGGAGGCGGGGGUGCCCAAUUUCUCUCACUUGGUGCCCCCUCCCCUGGCUCCGAAGUAGGGCUGGGGACUCCAGGAGGGCCCUUGCGUUUGGCCUCCACCCCUCUCCCGCAUACCCCACCCUCCAGAGAGCUCUGGGCGCGGACCAGGGUGCACUUGGGGGACAGGUGGAGGCCGGGCCGCCGGGCUUGCGCCUCCACGCCCGCAGUACGGCGUGCGGCCAGAGCGGGUGUGCGGGGACCUCUCGGGACAGGUCAAGCCCCCUCGGGUGGGCUUCCACGCUUACCAACUAGCUCUCUCCCUCACCUGCUCGCACCACGCUUUGCCCUCCAGGCUCCCACCUGGGAACGCCCCGUCCCUUGGUCCUUCCUCUCCUAGCCAGGUGUCAGCUCUGGCCAGGCCCAGGUGCUCUGCUUCCCCUGUUCAGGUCCCCUGCCCCUUCGGCUGGGAGACUUGCAUAUCGGCCUGAAGACCUCCCUGCGGUUUUUCCCAGCUCCUGCAGGGCCCAGACUGCAGCGGCUGGAGGCGAAGGGACGGCAGGGCGCGUGGCGUGGUUAGUGUGCUGGCUCCGACCAGCGGGAACGCACUGCGCACCGUCCGCCCUGCCCACCGCCUCGGCGGGACGCGCUCGCGCACACGGACGCACAGAGGUCGACCAGGGUGUUCUCCAGCGAGGAGGCAACACAGCCGCGGGAGGCGGGGCGGGGCGUGUUUAAAGUGACAGACUGGGCUUUGGUUACGUCGGGCUUCUGGACGAGGGGAAACCGGAGUCGGGGAGGCUCCAGCGAGAGCCCCGCGGACCGACGGGGACCGGAUCUCUACGGGUGGGGUCUGUGCAGUAGUGACCCCUCCGAGUGAAGGCAGAGCUCGGCGGUCCUCAGGCCCACCCCGCCUCCCAGCGGGGAGCACCGAGGGCGAGGACCGACUUCUUCUGGGGAUCCUCGA
rnacentral:lncRNA from 1 species